UUAACUGCUAGUAGUCUGUUGUUAUUUAUGUAUUAUUGUGAUUUUGUUUAUUUUCUUUGGUUACAUCUUCUGACAUCAGACUCGGACUUCUCUUGAACUGAAUUUUAAUGUGCGUAUUGUUAUGUGUGUACUUUUCUGCAUUGGCUAGAGGUAUAGGGGGAGGGUUGAGAUCUCAUAAAUAUGUGUAACCCCGCCGCAUUUUUGUGCCUGUCCCAGGUCAGGAGCCUCUGGCCUUUGUUAGUCUUGUAUUAUUUUUAAUUUUUGUUUCUUGUGUACAACUUGGAGUUUAGUAUGGCAUUCAUUAUCACUGAACUAGUAUAUAAAAAGAAGAUGUAGUAUGAUUGCCAAUGAGACAACUAUCCACAAAAGACCAAAAUGACACAGACAUUAACAACUAUAGGUCACCGUACGGCCUUCAACAAUGAGCAAAGCCCAUACCGCAUAGUGAGCUAUACAAGGCCCCGAUAAGAUAAUGUAAAACAAUUCAAACGAGAAAACUAACGGCCUUAUUUAUGUAAAAAAAAUGAACGAAAAACAAAUAUGUAACACAUAAACAAACGACAACCACUGAAUGACAGGCUCCUGACUUGGGACAGGCACAUACAUAAAUAAUGUGGCGGGGUUAAACAUGUUAGCGGAAUCCCAACCCUCCCCCUAACCUGGGACAGUGGUAUAACAGUACAACAUAAGAACGAACCAUAAAAAUCAGUUGAAAAAGGCUUAACUCAUCAGAUGGACAAAAAUACAAGUAGUAUAUAUAAUUGUUAAGGGGCCAGCUGAAGGACACCUCCGGCUGCGGGAAUUUCUCGCUGCAUCGAAGACCUGUUGGUGACCUUCAGCUGUUGUCUGUUCUAUGGCCGGGUUCUUGUCUCUUUGACACAUUCCCCAUUUCCAUUCUCAAUUUUAUUAUAAUUUUUAUAUACUAUAUUAUGUAAUAAAAAAAAGUCCUCAAGUAUCAAAGGUGCUUGCAAACUGUUUAAAUUGGUUUUGAUGAUAGAUAUGAUCGGGUUCAAAUGAUGGUCAUCAAUUUGAUAUAUGUUUAGUUCUCCGUCCACGAAGUACAUUGCCAUCUAAUUUGUUGCAUUUCAAUAUCAUCAUCGUUUUACUGAUGUUGUAUGAGCUCAUGUGUUGUCUGUUUAAGAUGAUUAAGUAUUAAUAAAACGUCUUGUGAUCUUUCUUUUUACGUGUAAUUUCGUAACGGAAAUUGUCUUUCAUUUUUGCUAAUAUGCUUUGUCUAUAUGCCUUUUUAUUCUUUGUUACAUAUGACGUGGCUCAGUACUUAUACAUACCGUCAUUGUGUUAUAUUCUGUUAUAAUUUCUAUAUACUAGCCUUUCAUUUUUUAUUUUAAUAAUGUGCUUUAUCUAUAUCCCUUUUUGUGUUUCUUUCUUACAUAUGAUAUGGCUCUGUACUUUUACAUCCCGUCAUUGUGUUAUUUUGCCAUGGUUAAUGUUUGUAAAUAUAUCGGUUUGUUUUAGAGUGAUAAAGAUGAUAACACUAUAUUGACAUUUUUACCUAUUGUGAAUGUUUUGUUCUCACAUCGUUGUCAAUAUAAUGGAAUUGUAUGCGUCUGUCAAACAAGUGAGUUUUUUAGCUAGCUAUAAAACAGGAUUCAUUUCUACAUAAAAAAAUGCAUGUACCAAUGCAGGAAAUAGGCAGUUGUAAUCCAUUAGUUUGAUGUGUUUGAGCUCUUGAUUUUGCCAUUUGAUUAGAAACUUUCCUGUUAGAAUAUUCCUCGGAGUUCAGUAUUUUUGUGAUUUUACUGUUUGCAUGAUUAAUGUUUAAUAAAUUUUCAUUCACAAAGGUGUAUGAACAAUUUCCUGAAGUGUAAAAUAAAUAUAAAUGUACUAGUAAUAAAAAAAUAAUUCAAGCAUCUACUCUAAUAUAUAUAUAUUCAAACAAUUAUCAACAAACAAUUUGGACUUUUGUCGUGUGACUUUUUUUCUGGCAAAUUUGUGAGUUUUUGUCCGAUAAAUAAACUCAUCAUAGAUACCAGAAUUAAAUUUUGUGUUUACAUCAGACAUGCUCGUCUACAAAAGACUCAAAAGUGACGAUCAAAUUAAAAAACAAAUGUUAAAAAGGCCAAAUAAAGUACGAAGUUGAAGAGCAUUGAGGACCAAAAUUCCUAACAGUUUUGCCAAAUACAGCUAAAGUAAUCUAUUUCUAAGGUAGAAAAGUUUUGUAAACAGCUAAUUUAAAAAUAUGACCAUAUCAAUGAUAAUUCAUGUCAGUACAGAAGUGGAAAUUUUGUAUUAUUGUUGUAGUUGCAUUAUGUUAUGAAGAACGAGUGAUCAAAAUAUACGUGAAAUAAUAAAAAAAAAUAUUUUCCUUGGCUUAGUCUACAACUUACUUAAUGAACAAAGACUUCCCAAAAUAUCUGUCAAAGAAUAUGUGUAAUAAAUAGAAGGGGAAUGCAACCCAGAUGCAAUCUAAUUACCGACUUUACCGUAACCUAGCAAGCCACAAAUAUGUUUAAACGGUUGUUUGUAUUCUUUGGUUUAAUUAUAUUGAAAAGUUACCCGAUGCCGUGUUUAAGAUCAAAUACAUUUUUACAAAACUCACUUUAUAAUCCAGG
rnacentral:lncRNA from 1 species